rnacentral:rRNA from 1 species
GACGAACGCUGGCGGCGUGCUUAACACAUGCAAGUCGAACGGAAAGGCCCUGCUUUUGUGGGGUGCUCGAGUGGCGAACGGGUGAGUAACACGUGAGUAACCUGCCCUUGACUUUGGGAUAACUUCAGGAAACUGGGGCUAUUACCGGAUAGGAGCUCCUGCUGCAUGGGGGGGGUUGGAAAGUUUCGGCGGUUGGGGAUGGACUCGCGGCUUAUCAGCUUGUUGGUGGGGUAGUGGCUUACCAAGGCUUUGACGGGUAGCCGGCCUGAGAGGGUGAACGGCCACAUUGGGACUGAGAUACGGCCCAGACUGCUACGGGAGGCAGCAGUGGGGAAUAUUGCACAAUGGGCGGAAGCCUGAUGCAGCAACGCCGCGUGCGGGAUGACGGCCUUCGGGUUGUAAACCGCUUUCGCCUGUGACGAAGCGUGAGUGACGGUAAUGGGUAAAGAAGCACCGGCUAACUACGUG